AAUACUAAAAUGGCGGCCAUUUUGGAAUAAGGUGUAUACUACCUUAAAAUUUUGACUGGCAGCUGUCAAGUUAUUAGCAGUCCCCAUCUCCUUGUGUGGAUGUCACAAUAUAUUUGCACAACGUUUCUCUCUAUUUAUCCCCGAAGAUAACUUCUCACCCUUCUUUGACGAGGUCAAGUAUUGGAGAGAAACUUUGAAAACGCAUAUUGAUAAAUUACUUAGUUCUCCGUAAUUUAUCGGAGAGAAAGAAGCAGGAAGAGAACGAUGGACCUUGACGCUAGAGUGCGGUACUUCCGUGUAAGAUGUGCAGUGUCAACCUUGUCCCCAGGGCCUCCUCCUCGACGAUUUUCUUGACUUCAGUGUGGUGCAAUCCGUUUUACUUGCUUGUCACGAAAGUCGUGUUUUUACCGUAUGCCAUAAGUUGCGUUACUUCCUUGUGACGAAAGUCGUGUUACUUCCGUGUGCUAUAAGUUGCAUUACUUGCUUGUGACGAAAGUCUACUUCCGUGUGACAUAAGUUGCGUUACUUGCUUGUGACAGUACGCCACUUCCUUGUGAUAUAAGCUGCGCUACUUCCGUGUGAAAUAAGUGAUAUAAGCAGCUAUAUACUGAGGUCGAACAUAGUCUUCCGGACAGAUCAGAAGAUCAAGAACACUAAACUCUUUGUAAACGUUUCUUGAGGGCUCUGUCUGCAACAUGUUGGUCCGUUCAUUUGUUCCGUGUUUCUUUAUAGCCACUUUGAUCACAGCAGGCUCGGCUGGCCGUUGUUGUCUUCCCAAUCAUCCAGGAUUUUGCAGGGCUGAUUUUCCACGCUUCUUCUACAACGGAACCUCUCAACGGUGCGAGCAGUUUACCUACGGUGGCUGUCUGGGAAACAGAAACAACUUUUUGACGUGGCAGGAAUGUUCGGACGUUUGUCGCGACGUAGAAUGCAAUUAAAAGAAGUGUCUGGAGAAGAGAAUUCUGGUGAACAAGCAGGAUGAUAUUUCUAAAAAAUAGAGAUUGUCAAUAUAAAUUAACUAAGUGAGAUGGAACAACAAAACUAUAUUGCUCGUAUUUAAUAAGAAUAAAUUUUUUUUUGGCAGAAACUGAUGUCUGUGUUUUCAGUUGUUCAUUACUGGUCAGUUGGCGCGCGCUAAAAUAUCUCUGCUGUCAAUGGGUAAUUCUUUCAAAAAAUCUUAACUGUCAAAUUUAAACACAGCUCAUUAGCAAGUUAUAACAACUAAUCACCCAGAAAAAAAGUAAGUAAACACAUAGGAAAAUAUGCUCAUUGAUCAAACAUAAAGAAGCGCCAGGUUAUCUAAUGAAUUAACACUGCUAGCAUGAUUUUCAAGAAUGGUUUCUCGUCAUUAUUCCAGUUUCUGACAACGCAAAAACGCUAUUCAAAGGCCAAAAAACUCAAAUCGGUUGCUACAUGACAGGAAAUAUCCACCAGGCACCGAAAAUGUCUUCUCAAGUCCUACUGAAACAUCCACGGUAUUACAUAUAGAAGUGACCAUUGAAUAGGGCGCACCUUUGGAAUUACUCCAGGUAAACUGAAUGCAAGCUUUGUAAAGUCGACUCAAAAUCCUGCGCUUCCUUUAUGAAGUCAACAAAUAGACUUCUGUAACCCAAGCCCACGCAAGAAUUAAUUCCAGCUUGAUAAAUCACUUCCUUGUUGAGGACUAAAACAGAUUUAUAUCUUCAAGUCAAUAUAUGAAAGAUCAUGUAUUUGAACUGCGGAGACAUGAUUGAUCAUCGAAGUUAUAUACACAACUUUUAAAAGCAGCUGUGAAAUUAAAAUUCGAAUCAACAAUUUUUUAGAAACGGAUUUCACUAGAAAAGUCAAUGUUAAAAAGCAACGACGUUUCGACCGCUCGACGGUCAUUUUCAAGUUGAA